GACGAACGCUGGCGGCGUGCCUAAUACAUGCAAGUAGAACGCACAGUUUAUACCGUAGCUUGCUACACCAUAGACUGUGAGUUGCGAACGGGUGAGUAACGCGUAGGUAACCUGCCUGGUAGCGGGGGAUAACUAUUGGAAACGAUAGCUAAUACCGCAUAAUAUUGAUUAUUGCAUGAUAAUUAAUUGAAAGGUGCAAUUGCACCACUACCAGAUGGACCUGCGUUGUAUUAGCUAGUAGGUGAGGUAACGGCUCACCUAGGCGACGAUACAUAGCCGACCUGAGAGGGUGAUCGGCCACACUGGGACUGAGACACGGCCCAGACUCCUACGGGAGGCAGCAGUAGGGAAUCUUCGGCAAUGGACGAAAGUCUGACCGAGCAACGCCGCGUGAGUGAAGAAGGUUUUCGGAUCGUAAAGCUCUGUUGUAAGAGAAGAACGGGUGUGAGAGUGGAAAGUGCACACUGUGACGGUAUCUUACCAGAAAGGGACGGCUAACUACGU
rnacentral:rRNA from 1 species